GGACAAGCAGAAGAAAGGAAGUAAGUAAGUAACAUUUACUUAUAUAGCACUGUUUAAGUUAACUGGCACCAAAAAGCUUUACAUAAAAUAAAUAAUAAGCACAAAAGAAAAGAAAUACUUCUGCAAUCAUCCAGGUUCCACUGGGUGCUUCCCUGGAUAGAGAUCUAGAAAAUGUCUCCUGCUCUGAGGAGAGGAGCAUUCACGGUCAGUUUCAGUCUGACCCAAAGCAAGAAUCUCAUUUAGGCCCGCUGGAGGGGCCAUGUCAGCGCAGGUAUCCUCAGGGGCCUGCGGCAGCACCUGUUUUCAGGGCUACCUACAAAUCUCACUCUCAAUGGAGAGGAGUGUGAGUGAUCAGUAGGUAACUGAUCUCGAAUUAAAGUAUGAACAUACUGAAGCACAUGCAUAUGGCCUCAAGAGACAGCAGUUGGCAGAAUAUCCGCACAAAUGCCGGCAAGGGAACAGCGCUAUCAGGGUGACUUUGGAGAAACCAGCCGCCGAAUCCUCUCUUCAGGUAAGACCAGAAGAAGGAAGCAAAAACUGUCGGACCAAUCAAGGUACCAACGACAAGCAAACUUCAUCAGUAGGCGACAACACACCCCACACCUCCAUAGGGGGUAAGCAGUUCACUGAAGCCGGUGGUAGCUUGAAAGCUGGGCACGGAAAUAUGAUCAGAGUCGUCUUUCAAGGCCGACUCAGAAUUAUGGCCAGAACUGUCCGACAAGGCAGGCUCAGUAUGAUAAGGUUUUCAGACCAAGACCCAAACAGAGGUCAGGAGAAACAUGGAAUCCACACUUCCUACCAGUCCAACUCCCAAUCAAGGAGAGAAAAGGAACCCGCAUCAGGGGCCUUUGGGCUUACCACAAGACCACCGGUAGCCAUGGAGGUAGGUGGGUCUGGGUUUACUGAAACAAGGGAUUGUGGACCAGUUACAUGUUGGUAAUUUUACUCUUGUGUUUUUGUUCAAAAUGACAAUAACAUGAAUUUCAGAUCUGGUUUUAAAAAACAGAUAACAACAUGUGAUUAUUUUUUACUGCACAACAUACAUAGGUUCCAAGCAGACUUGGAACUCGGACCGGAAUUGUCUUCAAGGCAGGCCCAGUAUUUUGGGCAGGAUUGGCUUCCAGGACAGGUGACAGAUGGAGGAUGUCACUUCAUCCAGGUUUAACUCAUUUGUGCAGUACAGACAUUUAGAAAUAGCCAUUUUUGUUAUGGUCUAACAACUGUUUUAUAGGAGUUUCCUAUAAAAUGCUCACAUGGCAUGCAUCGACCUCAAAGAUGAAUACUAUUCGGUGUCUAUUCAUUAAGAACAGGAGAUAUUUGAAGUUUAACUGGAUGGCAUGGCUCUGCCAAAUGGGUUGACAUCAGCUCCUAGACUAUUGACUAAACUACGGAAACCAAUUCAGGGACUACAAAGGUCUCAAAACCACAUAGUAAUGGCAUAUUUGGAGGACAUUUUCAUUUUGAAGUCACCAAGAAUUGGCAGAAGCAUCAGUCAAGCAAACCAAAACCCUGUUUGAAAGAAUUGGUUACCUCAUCCAUCCAGUUAAAUCAAAAUUGACACCUACAAGGUAAAUUGAUUACCUAGAAUUUACUAUCAAAAACAGUAAAUAUGUUGGUGACUUUGCCCAGGGGCAAACGACAAUAUAAAUUAAGCCUGCAAUAACCUGAUAGUCAAAUUCUAGCCAUCUAUCAGGCAAACAGCGAGUGUAAUUGGCAAAUAGUAGCUGCAUUCCCAGCAGUAUGGGCCUUUGCAUUACCAGAACUUACAGCAAGCAAAGGAACGAACACUUAGAUUACAUGCAGGCCGAAUUGGCAAACUAUGGAUUGCCAGCAGAGGCCAUUGUUGAGUAACUAUGGUGGAUAACGAAUGGGAGACAGCUCAGGGAAAUUUUGCUCGAAAGCCAUCGAGGGUUCUUCAGACCUAUGCAAGCGGCUAAGGAUGGGGAGACACCAACACAGUCUAAAGCUGUGGGGGCAGAUGGAAUGAGCAGGAGUCUGUAAUACCCCAACACAUGGAUUACCUAGAAUUACCCGGAAUUACCCAGAAUUGUUGGGGGCACAAUAUGGACUCAAGGUUCUCUGUAGCGAUAUGCAACUGGUGCUUGUUCAAAUUCAGAUUGAUAACACCACUGCGGUGGUAUAUAUCCAUUAACAAGGGUGGUGUAAAAUCUGUAUCUUACGACAGAUUGUCGAACCUCAUUUGGCACUGGUGUAUCAAGAGGAAUAUUUGGGAAAUCUACGAGGUAGAUAUAACACGGUGACGGAUGCUGGAUCACGAAUGUUUAAUAACAAUACAGAAUGGAUGUUGAAUUAGACAGUAUUUAAUAAAAUAACUACACGAUUUGGCAUACCAGAUGUUGAUCUGUUUGCAUCUAGACUAACCAUUAGUUACCCAGAUACGUGUCCUGCGAGCUGGAUCCAGGAGCAAGGCAGUGGAUGCUUUCUCCCUCAAUUGGGGAGGAAUGUUUAUGUAUGCUUUCCGCCAAUUUGUCUCACAAACCGAUGCUUGACAAAAAUCAAGCAAGACUAAGCCACAGGCAUAUUGGUAGUGCCAGAUUGGCCUACUCAAGCCUGGUCCCCAAAAAUGUUGGGAAUUAUAGUCCAGCCAGUAAUGGCUGUACCCAAGAGCAGGGACCUCCUAGUGAACCCAGUUACAGGGAGCAAUCAUCCACUACAUGAACGUAUAACUUGUUGGUCUGCAGAUUCUGAGGAGGCCAUUUCAAGGCAUAGGACUGUCCGAACAAAUACAACACAGUUCGGAUAACGGAUGUCUUGGAGUUCCUAUCAACUGUACUAUAACUAUAAACUAAGUUAUAGUGCAUAUAUAGUGCCAGAGGCGCACUCUCCUCCAAUCUGAUGCCGGAAGCAGGGCACAGUUCGAUAGGAACGCAUCCCUUUACAACAAAAUUCAUGAAGGGAAUUUACAAUUUAAGACCUCCAAGGCCAAGGUACACUGACACAUGGGAUGUGGGUGUGGUACAAACCCUACUUUGACCGUGGGGACCGCCUAUAACUAACCCUGAAGGUGGUAUGCUGACAAAGAAUCCAGACACUGCAAAAGCUACGGUUGGACUACAUGACCACCAAUAUGAACAACAUAACAUUCCUAAUCAGGAACCUGAUAAACAGAGCAGGCCAGGAAUGCCAGGGAUGGAGAUCCAGUUAUUGGCAUAUCCAGAGGACCAACGGUUGUUUGGGUGGUAACAUACUAACACCACUAUCUGAGAGUUACGGAGAACCUCAGAGGCUUAGAACAAUCGGUCCUCAUCAGC